GUUAAAGCACUUUCAGUAGGGAGGAAGGUAGUGUAGUUAACACCUGCAUUAUUUGACGUUACCUACAGAAGAAGCACCGGCUAACUCCGUGCCAGCAGCCGCGGUAAUACGGAGGGUGCGAGCGUUAAUCGGAAUUACUAGGGGCGUAAAGCGCAUGCAGGCGGCCUGUUAAGUCAGAUGUGAAAGACCCGGGGCUUAACCUCGGAAAUUGCAUUUGUAAACUGGCAGGCUAGAGUCUUGUAGAGGGGGUAGGAAUUUCAGGUGUAGCGGUGAAAUGCGUAGAGAUCUGAAGGAAUACCAGUGGCGAAGGCGGCCCCCUCGGACAAAGACUGACGCUCAGAUGCGAAAGCGUGGGGAGCAAACAGGAUUAGAUACCCUGGUAG
rnacentral:rRNA from 1 species